AAAGGGUGAGUUUGGGGAAACUCAGUGUGUAAGGAAAACCCAUUCAAAGCCCAAGUCAGCUCAAGCCUAUUGGGCCUAAGCCCAUUUAGGUAACAGUGGUACUGGACCAGAGCCCUUUUUAGAUUACAAUAAACUGGGCCUUAGCCCCUUAUUCAGAUAACAGUAUGGCCCAUAGGCCCAUUUCAAAAUACAUGCAACAUCAAUAACAUAUACAAGCCCAUUUGGGGAGACUACUCAACCCACCAACCACUACACUCCACCCG
rnacentral:lncRNA from 1 species